UGCCUUAGUAACGGCGAGUGAAGCGGCAAAAGCUCAAAUUUGAAAUCUGGUACCUUCGGUGCCCGAGUUGUAAUUUGUAGAAGGUAACUUUGGGGCUGGUCCUUGUCUAUGUUCCUUGGAACAGGACGUCAUAGAGGGUGAGAAUCCCGUGUGGCGAGGAUCCCAGUUCUUUGUAAAGUGCUUUCGAAGAGUCGAGUUGUUUGGGAAUGCAGCUCUAAGUGGGUGGUAAAUUCCAUCUAAAGCUAAAUAUUGGCGAGAGACCGAUAGCGAACAAGUACAGUGAUGGAAAGAUGAAAAGAACUUUGAAAAGAGAGUGAAAAAGUACGUGAAAUUGUUGAAAGGGAAGGGCAUUUGAUCAGACAUGGUGUUUUGCGCCCUCUGCUCCUUGUGGGUGGGGGAAUCUCGCAGCUCACUGGGCCAGCAUCAGUUUUGGCGGCAGGAUAAAUCUGCAGGAAUGUAGCUUGCCUCGGUAAGUGUUAUAUCCUGUAGAAAUACUGCCAGCUGGGACUGAGGACUGCGACUUUACGUCAAGGAUGCUGGCAUAAUGGUUAUAUGCCGCCCGUCUUGAAACACGGACCAAGGAGUCUAACGUCUAUGCGAGUGUUUGGGUGUAAAACCCGUACGCGUAAUGAAAGUGAACGUAGGUUGGGGCCUCGCAAGAGGUGCACAAUCGACCGAUCCUGAUGUCUUCGGAUGGAUUUGAGUAAGAGCAUAGCUGUUGGGACCCGAAAGAUGGUGAACU
rnacentral:rRNA from 1 species